rnacentral:rRNA from 1 species
GUCCACGCCCUAAACGAUGUCAACUGGUUGUUGGGUCUUCACUGACUCAGUAACGAAGCUAACGCGUGAAGUUGACCGCCUGGGGAGUACGGCCGCAAGGUUAAAACUCAAAGGAAUUGACGGGGACCCGCACAAGCGGUGGAUGAUGUGGUUUAAUUCGAUGCAACGCGAAAACCUUACCCACCUUUGACAUGGCAGAAAUCCUUUAGAGAUAGAGGAGUGCUCGAAAGAGAAUCUGCACACAGGUGCUGCAUGGCUGUCGU